CCAAACUUGGUCAUUUAGAGGAAGUAAAAGUCGUAACAAGGUUUCCGUAGGUGAACCUGCGGAAGGAUCAUUAUCGAAAUCCUUCGAGGAAAGCGUGGAACGGGGGGGGAAGGAAUCGAGCGGGGGAAAGUUUCGGUCGGAGGUUGUCGCUGGCCCCUCUCGGGGCAUGUGCACGCCUCUGCCUCUGUCUCCUGUUCCCUUUCUCCUUCGCGCGGACCUCGUUCUCUCACACACACCCGUGCACGCGUUGUAGGCUUCCUCGAGAGGGGAAGCAUACGUCUUUCAUAAACUCUUCCGUAUGUCCAUAGAAUGUCCACGAAACUAUUCGUAUUCGAACAACUUUCAGCAAUGGAUCUCUUGGCUCUCGCAUCGAUGAAGAACGCAGC
rnacentral:misc_RNA from 1 species